CUCCGGUCACGUGGGAAGAAACCCGGAAGUAUCGCCGUGAAUCACAGUAGAGUUGCAAAUGCGAUGUUGUGUAUUAGGCUGUACAUCAUAUUAACGUAAAGAGAGUGAUAAUAUAUAUCCUUUCAUCUAUUCCCGAGUGACUCAAAGGGAUAUUGGACCUUAUUUUCAGAUUACAGACAACACGAGAGGGUGCUCCAAACUUUUUAAUCAGGACUGCAUUGUUUGUUCGCUCCCGGGGUUACAUAGACUGAAAAGGGGAAGCGUGACGAGUUUGUUUACAUGGUGCUGUAAACUCCAACUACAGGAGGACACUUCAGAGGAAUCACAGGGAUAACAUGGUGUGAUUUUUUUUGUCAAAACCAGAACUGACUUCCGAAUCCACCUGGAACGCAUUUACUUUGAUGGAGACAAAUGGAAGUCAGUAAAAAUUAAGUUGGACUUGUUUUUUUUAACUAAUGGCUGCCCAACAGCUUAUAAAGCCAGGAACAACACACACACACACACACACACACACACACACACACACACACACACACACACACACACACACACACACACACACACACACACACAC